AUUUCCGUCAGUGCUUAGCUUGUGAGUUCCAUCAGUGCCUUUGGAGAGAUUGAUAAAUUAUUCUUUGUCUUAGUACUUUUUCUUGCUUCCCCUCUUUUUUAUUCUUUUCUCAACCCGUAAGUGGAACUCUGUGUUUGCAGACUUUUCCUAGUUAAGGAGUAUUCAGUGCUUGAACAGCUUAGAAGAAUUCAAAGCCUGCUGCAUUUUCCAUUCAAUCUUUUGAGCUUAGAAGAAUUCAAAGCCUGCCGCAUUUUCCAUCAAAUCUUUUGAUUAGUUUUGAGUUAUGCCUGUAGUGCAAUGAACUUCUACAAAUUGUGGAGUUCUAGUGAAAAGAGUCCUAAAAGGGCUAUUCGAAUAGUUCCGACGAGGUUUGAAAAAUAUUCGAGUAUUUUCGGUGCAAACCAGGUGCGAAAACGGAUUCUGAGAUGAUAAAUCUGCCAAGUUGUAGAUUUUAUAUUGAGUAUCAGUACUGGAAUCUAGGUAUCGGUACACAAUACAAAAUGGUGAGGAGUAAGCUCUCAGGUUUUGAGGAAUUGAGAUCUGUGUAGCGGCAAAGAAAUUCCAGGUUCUAUAUUUAUAGUACACUGAACUUUAGCAAAUUGCAAGGUUCUAGUGUAAAAAUAGCGUUUUGAACUAUUCUAGCUGUUUUGGGGAUCAACAGUAGUGCAUCGAUUCCUUACUUAAGCUCGCUAAGUGCGAGAUUGGAAUACUGACAUUAAAAUUUGCAAAUUGCAGGGUUUUGAGUAUUGAGUUCCGGUACCUGAGUGGGGUACCGGUACCCCAGAGGGUUGCCAGAAUGGGUAGCUCUCGAGUUGAGAAGUUGGAUGUUGGGUACCGGUACUAAGUCGGUGAGUAUCGGUACUGGAGUUGAGUACCGGUACUGCAACAGGCAGGUACCGGUACACUAAAAUUUGCAAAUUGCAGGGUUUUGAGUAUUGAGUACCGGUACCUGAGUGGGAUUCCGGUACUCCAAAGGCCAGGGUUGCCAGAAUGGGUAGCUCUCGAGUUGAGAAGUUGAGUGUUGGGUACCGGUACUGAGUCGGUGAGUAUCGGUACUGGAGCUGAGUACCGGUACUGCAUAAGGCGGGUACCGGUACACUGCAUUAAGCCCGAAGACCCCACGCUCGGGUUUUUGCAUAUUUGAGUGCCGGGUACCAGUACUCCAAUACGAGUACCGAUACAUAAUGCGGCAAAUUGAGUUGGUAAGGGGUCUUUUAGUAAUUUGGCUGUUGGGUUUAUCCCCAACAGACCCAGCUGGCUCUUAUUGUGCCAGAGCGUGAAGAAAAACUGGUAGGCUACUCCUUUUUCUCUCUCUAGCUUUCAUUUCUAAUUUCUUUGUGAAUUUGGGGAUUGAUCUUAUUUUAUUCACCUUUUCUUUGGAGGAUUGUUCUUGCACCUUGGUGAAGAUUGCUGUGAAUUUGGAGGUUAGUUUGAGGAUAAACUUCAAAUUCUAGCUCAAGGUUGGGUUUGGCUUGGAGCUUUGAGAGGUUGGACUUAAAGCAUCCCAACCUUAGGUGGAGUGUGGAAUAGAGUUCUUCUCUAUUUCAGGUGCUAGAAGGCUAGAAGGCAUCUUCGUUCGAGCAACGAAGGGAUCCGAGGAAUAUCCGAGUCAUUCACAGCGGGAGAGGCUAGGGAUCACGAUAAGGAGGUCGUGUCUAGUUAGGCAUAUCUUGGAGUUCCUACUAGGUGGUUGACGUCGAAUACCGGUCCUAAUAAGCACUAAAAGUCAUGUCGCUUUUUUUUUUUUUUUACUUCUUGAGUCGCUUAAUGCAGCGAGGUUGGUGAUGCCGUUCCUCCAAACGUCGGUCUCGAUUGAGGCCAGCCGACGUCACUAUUUGUUAUAUUUUGUUAGAUUUAUAGUUACCUAAAUUAGAGUUAAA